GCCACGCCGCUCAGAAACUUAAAGGAAUUGACCGGGGCCCGCACAAGCGGAGGACAUGUGGUUUAAUUCGAUGAUACGCGAGGAACCUUACCUGGGCUAGAACGCAUUCGGAAUCAGGCCCGAAAGGCCUGCGCCAGCGAUGGCCGCUUGCGAGGUGCUGCAUGGUUGUCGUCAGCUCGUGCCGUGAGGUGUCGGGUUAAGUCCCAUAACGAGCGCAACCACUACUGCUAGUUGCCAGCGGGUCAUGCCGGGGACUCUAGCGGAACUGCCAGCGUAAGCUGCGAGGAAGGUGGGGAUGACGUCAAAUCAGCACGGCCCUUACGUCCAGGGCUACACACGUGUUACAAUGGCCGGUACAGAGGGCAGCCACCCCGCAAGGGGGCGCGAAUCCCGAAAGCCGGUCCCAGUUCGGAUCGGAGUCUGCAACCCGACUCCGUGAAGCUGGAUUCGCUAGUAAUCGCGCAUCAGCCACGGCGCGGUGAAUACGUUCCCGGGCCUU
rnacentral:rRNA from 1 species